AGCCUUCACUGCUCGAUGAUGCAUCCACCCUAUAACGCGCGUGCGAGUCAGAGGGUGCAUUCAAAACUCCGUGGCGCAAUGAAAGUGAGGGCCGGCACGCGACGGCUGAGGUGGGAUCCCGGCCCGCACAGUCGGGGAGGGGGAGCGUGAGCGCGUGCGAUAGGACCCGAAAGAUGGUGAACUAUGACUGGGUA